rnacentral:lncRNA from 1 species
GGGGCAACUUCGGCUGUAAAAAUUUCUCUAUACUUCUUUCAUUCGAAACUUGAACUCGAAAGUAGGGAGACUGGUGUUGGGUAUAAAAUACCCCCCCAGCUGAAGUUCAUACCAGGAGUGACCCUCCUGGGACUCUGCCGACGUCCAACCUUGGGCGGCAUAUUUUCGAACCUCUCCAACGGUCGAACUUUCGCAACAUUCUCAAGUUCUGCCGAC